GAGGGAAACUUCUGAUAAUACUGGAUAAGUUAGUAUAUCGCAUGAUAUGCAAAUGAAAGCUACGGCACUAAAGGAGAGCUUUGCGUCCUAUUAGCUAGUUGGUAAGGUAAGAGCUUACCAAGGCGAUGAUAGGUAGCCGGCCUGAGAGGGUGGGCGGCCACAAGGGGACUGAGAUACGGCCCUUACUCCUACGGGAGGCAGCAGCC
rnacentral:rRNA from 1 species